rnacentral:tRNA from 1 species
GCCCGGGUGGCGAAAUUGGCAGACGCACAGGACUUAAAAUCCUGAGGGACCUUAAAAGCCCAUGCCGGUUCAAGUCCGGCCCCGGGCACCA